rnacentral:rRNA from 1 species
GGAGUCUGGACCGUGUCUCAGUUCCAAUGUGGCUGUUCGUCCUCUCAGACCAGCUAUAGAUCGUCGGCUUGGUAGGCCUUUACCCCACCAACUACCUAAUCUUCCGCGGGCCAAUCUUUCGGCAAUAAAUCUUUCCCCCUUAGGGCUUAUGCGGUAUUAGCAGAAGUUUCCCUCUGUUGUCCCCACCAAAAGGCAUGUUCCCACGUGUUACUCACCAGUGCGCUACUCUCAUCGCUCAGUGCAAGCACUCAGCAAAUCCCGUUCAACUUGCAUGUGUUAGGCACGCCGCCAGCGUUCAUC